CGGUAAUACGGAGGAUCCAAGCGUUAUCCGGAUUUAUUAAACCCGAGAGAUGCGUAGGCGGAUUUUUAAGUCAGUGGUGAAAGUUUGUAGCUCAACUAUAAAAUUGCCAUUGAAACUGAAGAUCUUGAGUGUAAAUGAGGUAGGCGGAAUGUGUUGUGUAGCGGUGAAAUGCUUAGAUAUAACACAGAACACCAAUUGCGAAGGCAGCUUACUGGGAUACAACUGACGCUGAGGCACGAAAGCGUGGGGAUCAAACAGGAUUAGAUACCCUGGUAGUCCACGCAGUAAACGAUGAAUACUAGCUGUAUGCGAUAUACUGUAUGUGGCAAAGCGAAAGCGUUAAGUAUUCCACCUGGGGAGUACGUUCGCAAGAAUGAA
rnacentral:rRNA from 1 species